rnacentral:rRNA from 1 species
GACGAACGCUGGCGGCGUGCUUAACACAUGCAAGUCGAACGAGUGGCGAAUGGGUGAGUAAUAUAUCGGAACGUACCGAGUAAUGGGGGAUAACUAAUCGAAAGAUUAGCUAAUACCGCAUAUUAUUCGAGCGGCCGAUAUCUGAUUAGCUAGUUGGUGGGGUAAAGGCCUACCAAGGCGACGAUCAGUAGCGGGUCUGAGAGGAUGAUCGGCCACACUGGGACUGAGACACGGCCCAGACUCCUACGGGAGGCAGCAGUGGGGAAUUUUGGACAAUGGGCGCAAGCCUGAGCCAGCCAUGCCGCGUGUCUGAAGAAGGCCUUCGGGUUGUAAAGGUCUUUUGUCAGGGAAGCGGUACCUGAAGAAAAAGCACCGGCUAACUACGUGCCAGCAGUCGCGGUAAUUC